ACGAACGCUGGCGGCGCGCCUAACACAUGCAAGUCGAACGGGAUGAAUUUUCUCACUGAGUUUUUUGCGAGUCAGCCGGAAGCGCCAUUGAUGCGAAGCAUCAAUUAGGCUUAUUCCAGUAAGACUGACACAAAGGGCAAAAGACUGAGUGAGGAAAUUCAUUCAGUGGCGAACGGGUGAGUAACGCGUGAGGAACCUGCCUCAAAGAGGGGGACAACAGUUGGAAACGACUGCUAAUACCGCAUAAGCCCACGGCUCGGCAUCGAGCAGAGGGAAAAGGAGUGAUCCGCUUUGAGAUGGCCUCGCGUCCGAUUAGCUGGUUGGUGAGGUAACGGCCCACCAAGGCGACGAUCGGUAGCCGGACUGAGAGGUUGAACGGCCACAUUGGGACUGAGACACGGCCCAGACUCCUACGGGAGGCAGCAGUGGGGAAUAUUGCACAAUGGGGGAAACCCUGAUGCAGCGACGCCGCGUGGAGGAAGAAGGUCUUCGGAUUGUAAACUCCUGUUGUUGAGGAAGAUAAUGACGGUACUCAACAAGGAAGUGACGGCUAACUACGUGCCAGCAGCCGCGGUAAAACGUAGGUCACAAGCGUUGUCCGGAAUUACUGGGUGUAAAGGGAGCGCAGGCGGGAGAACAAGUUGGAAGUGAAAUCCAUGGGCUCAACCCAUGAACUGCUUUCAAAACUGUUUUUCUUGAGUAGUGCAGAGGUAGGCGGAAUUCCCGGUGUAGCGGUGGAAUGCGUAGAUAUCGGGAGGAACACCAGUGGCGAAGGCGGCCUACUGGGCACCAACUGACGCUGAGGCUCGAAAGUGUGGGUAGCAAACAGGAUUAGAUACCCUGGUAGUCCACACCGUAAACGAUGAUUACUAGGUGUUGGAGGAUUGACCCCUUCAGUGCCGCAGUUAACACAAUAAGUAAUCCACCUGGGGAGUACGACCGCAAGGUUGAAACUCAAAGGAAUUGACGGGGGCCCGCACAAGCGGAGGAACAUGUGGUUUAAUUCGAUGAUACGCGAGGAACCUUACCCGGGCUUAAAUUGCAUCUGAAUAAUUUGGAAACAGAUUAGCCGCAAGGCAGAUGUGAAGGUGCUGCAUGGUUGUCGUCAGCUCGUGUCGUGAGAUGUUGGGUUAAGUCCCGCAACGAGCGCAACCCUUAUGGUCAGUUACUACGCAAGAGGACUCUGGCCAGACUGCCGUUGACAAAACGGAGGAAGGUGGGGAUGACGUCAAAUCAUCAUGCCCUUUAUGACUUGGGCUACACACGUACUACAAUGGCGUUAAACAAAGAGAAGCAAGACCGCGAGGUGGAGCAAAACUCAGAAACAACGUCCCAGUUCGGACUGCAGGCUGCAACUCGCCUGCACGAAGUCGGAAUUGCUAGUAAUCGUGGAUCAGCAUGCCACGGUGAAUACGUUCCCGGGCCUUGUACACACCGCCCGUCACACCAUGAGAGCCGGGGGGACCCGAAGUCGGUAGUCUAACCGCAAGGAGGACGCCGCCGAAGGUAAAACUGGUGAUUGGGGUG
rnacentral:rRNA from 1 species